CUAACACACCGACCCUUCUAGAACACAGUACACACUUUUUCACAUGAAAAACACAACUCUACGCAUACCCACUACUUUUCACAAACCCACAUGAGCAGCCCAUUUUCCAGCCACUUCCGGCCGUUGCCCACCACCUCUCCGGCGACGCCUUGGCUGCCAGCAGCCCCUCUUCUUCUCCCUCCUCAUGGUUUCUUCAUCCUCAUCUUUUCCUACCUCCAUUGAAGAUGAUUCAAGGUAGAAGUUUUUUUCCGAACUCAAGUUUCUUGCAAAUUAAGUGCUAGGAGCGGCGCAUCCAAGGCUCGAGGAUGGACAACCGAACUAAGCUUGAAGAGGUUAUUUUGGAUUACAGCUUUCGAGGUGGGGUUUACUUUAUCUGUAAGCGUAGUGGUUACAUGGUUAUAAUCAUUGUUGUGUCGUGCGCCAUUCAUAUGAGCUUAUGAGCACACGAGGGGUCAGAUCCACGAGGGAAAAAAUAUGGGUCGCUGGCAGCCCACCAAUAGCCCACGAGGGGUCAGGUCCACGAGGGACCGAGACUAGUUUCCUAUAGAUGUCAGCAAAGUGGAGAUGGUUCAUUAUGUUAUGAUUCAUUACACAAUUGGUUAUAACUGCUUGCAGCUAUUCUCCACUGAGUGUGCUUGCAUACUCACACCUGUUAUUUAAUGUUUUUCAGGUUAAGGAGUCAGUGACGAGGCAGCGGUCAACGUGGUCCACGGUCUCCCAGCCCAAUAUUUGACUAGUAUCCAUUUUGGUGAUUAUGGAUCUUCACAACACUGUCGCGCUAAUGGCGGUGCUGGAUGCUAUUAUGGGGUCCUCCUUCGCUGCGGUUCUGCUCUUCUUCCUCCUUGUCUUCACUCCACUGGGCGACUCGCUUGCAGCAUCGGGGCGGCAGACGCUGCUCCGCUCGGAUCCGCGGCACCGGGGGCGAUUGGUGGCGCUUGUGGAGCAGGGGCGUCAGGCGGUGGCCAUCGACGCUUGCCCCACCGAUAUGGUGGAUCACAUGCCCAGUGAGGAUCCCAGAAUUAACAGCCAGCUCUCGCUGUCAUUAUAGGUGAAGAGAUUUUCUCCUCCAACACAAAAAUGUGUGGUGGAGAUUUAGUUAUAGGAUUAUCACAUAAAUUGUGGUUAUCAUUAUAACACACCUAUAUAUAUAUAUAUAUAUAUAUAUAUAUA